AGCUAGCCAGUGAUGGCAUGCGAAUCUCGAAAGCCUAUCUCAGUUCGGAUUGGAGGCUGAAACCCGCCUCCAUGAAGUUGGAUUCGCUAGUAAUCGCGCAUCAGCCAUGGCGCGGUGAAUACGUUCCCGGGCCUUGUACACACCGCCCGUCAAGCCAUGGGAGCCGGGGGUGCCUGAAGUUCGUUACCGCAAGGAUCGACCUAGGGCAAAACUGGUGACUGGGGCUAAGUCGUAACAAGGUAUC
rnacentral:rRNA from 1 species